GGAGGGUCUGCCUCUGCUUGGCAGCUCCUGGAGGAACUGCUGCCUUUCUUUCUUUUCAGCUGAUUCAUUUUUGUUUCCAAUUUCCAGAGGAAAUGUAACUCGGGUGAAACCUGGCGCAGAGCUCCGAAGCCGGAGGGUCCGAGAAAGCGGCGCAAAGGGAAGAAAAAGAGCAGCGAGGGCUGUACUUACAGAGCUGGCAGGAAUUUCAUUCAAAGGGAAGAAAGAGGAAAAAAG
rnacentral:lncRNA from 1 species